CCUACGGGAGGCAGCAGUGGGGAAUAUUGCACAAUGGGGGAAACCCUGAUGCAGCAACGCCGCGUGAGUGAAGAAGUAUUUCGGUAUGUAAAGCUCUAUCAGCAGGGAAGAGGAUGACGGUAUCUCAUUAAAAAACCCCAGCUAACUACGUGCCAGCAGCCGCGGUAAAACGUAGGGGGCAAGCGUGAUCCGGAUGUACUGGGUGUAAAGGGCGCGCAGACGGGAGUGCAAGUCUGGAGUGAAAGCCCGGGGCGCAACCCCGGAACUGCUUUGGAAACUGUGCGGCUAGAGUACCGGAGAGGUCGGCGGAAUUCCUUGUGUAGCGGUGAAAUGCGUAGAUAUUAGGAGGAACACCAGUGGCGAAGGCGGAUGGCUGGACAGCAACUGACGGUGAGGCGCGAAAGCGUGGGGAGCAAACAGGAUUAGAUACCCCAGUAGUC
rnacentral:rRNA from 1 species